rnacentral:lncRNA from 1 species
CCAAUUAACUUUUAUUUCAAAUUAUACUUUUAAUUAAUUUGAUUUCCAAUCAAUUUAAUUUUAGAAACAUCAUUUAUUAUUUUCAAUUCUAAUUAUUAGAAUCAAUUUCUUGCUUUGUUCUAUUAAGUUUUACUGUAGAAAUGGUCCGUGAUAUGAUUACUGGUUUUUCUCAGGUGAUUCUUUCCAUGGGUAUUCAUCAACUAAACUUCAAAAGGUUUUUUUACAUUUUUCUCCUUUUCUUUUUCUUGUGUUCAUCAAUUUUAGUUUAGCAAAUGUUCAAUUUAUUGUUUCUCAUUUCUUUUUCAGCGAAUGGGGGGCCAAUCUCUUGGUUUCCUUAUGCGAUACCCGCCUAAGUUGCAAUAACAUGCUCUCAUCCAUAACAGGUUCAUGUCUUUCACACUGGCUCAGUCUAUGAUUCUUAAUUUCAGAGAAGUAUGUGAUUCAGAGUUCACGAGCUCGGCUGUGAAUUUUUAUGCUGAACUUAGCUGUUUGUUGAGAAUGUUAUUGGCUUAUUCAAUUAUGACAACUCCACUCUAUUGUGUCUUUGAUAGAGCUAAACCGUCUGUUCUAUCCAAAUAGUAUUCUCCACAUCGUGGAGUUCUCUGAUACCAUUGUCGGUGGGAGGACUAAAAGUAAAAUGGAUUGAUUUCUUUGUUUUCUGUUAGAUCUGUCGUACGUUUGUCUAGUUAUCCAUUGGUGGAGCUGAGUCAUCUUGUCUCUCUGAUUCAUAAAUAGACGAGUGUGUAUGACAUGGAAAGGCAAAGACAAUUGCUUUCUUUAUGCAUCUUGAAAGGAUUUCUCAAUCUUUUUUCCGCCCAUACCUCAUUAAAGUGUCAGUACUUAGUUAAGAUAAGUUGAUUUGUCACAGCAACCAUGAUACUUUCUAUGUCCAAGUGUUAGGAACUUAUAAUUUGAAACACUUCUGAGUUUGCGAGGGAGUUCAACUUGGUCCAAAUAAAAGAUUGCAAAUUUCUGCAUUCGUAAACUUUGUCUGCCUACUCAGUUUAAAUUGAUGGAUCAUUGAGUUGGAUGUUAUGUGAAAAUAAUAACAGUAACCAGUGAUAUAGAGGACGCAACAGAGGAAUUAAGGGAAGAAUGAAUCUGAGAUAGGUUUUGUAGGAAGAAGUGGAAGUGGAGGGAUAGGCACACACUUUAUUAAAUUUUCCUAAAUAUCCUUCCGUUCCAUGGCUUAAACACAUCUCCUUAUGGUGUCCUAAGAAGACAAAGGGAUGGGAUGAAAGCUACAUUUAUUUUAAAUCUUCAUUAUAAAUAUUCCUACCACAUAAAUAU